rnacentral:lncRNA from 1 species
UGAAGGGAAAGUGUUGUGUCCAGGGCAUCAAUGGAAUGGCAAAGCCAGGCUAAGGAAUCUUGGUUACUAAUGAGAUUAAAACCAAGAUAAAAACAACUAUUACCCUAGAAACAAGAAUAGUUGGGUGAUGGGUUAGUCCACCAGAGCCCAGAGGUCAGGUAAGAUGGCAGAAGAGCCAAAGUUCAGGGGAACUGAAGGUCCUGAGGACCUAAGUGAAGAGUAAGAGCCAAUGACCCUGAUCAGGGCUCCAGGAAGCUCCAAGAAGAAUGGAUUAAGAGCUAAAAGCACAACUACAGUGAAGUUAUUUGUAGUGCUAAGUAGAUAUUAGCUUGAUGUUUAUUUUCUUACUGAAGUUUCUGGUUCUAAAAAGUGUGCUGGGUUUGGGACUCAAGUUCUUAUGACCAGAUAGGUAUUCAUUCAUAUAGAAACAUGAAAUAAGUUUCAGCCACCACACUGAGAAAACGGCAGUGCACAGAUAUGAAAUAGUUCCUGUCUCAUGGAACAGUCAGUCCAGCAAUAAACAAAUGCAUGCAUGAAUGAAUAAAAUAUAUGAUGCUUAUAUGAGGGUCCCCUUCAGACACUUACAGAGCAUACUGAUUGGAGAGCUUCUGACCAUUUUGGGUAUCCUCAGAGUAUAAUCUUAAAUCUGAGGCAUCCCAGGUGAGGUUUAUGGCAUUGUCCAUUGAAACUUUUUAUUGAGACUGGUACCAAAUGGAAGCAUGAGAAGAAGCGUAUUUAGAAGUGCUCAGAUAUUAAGUCUUUAUCUUGAACAAGAGCAUCCUAAGUCUCUAUGGGGGUCCCCUGUCUUGCUGAAGCACCCCAAUGAUAUUCUGAAGCCUGUCUGGCAUAACAUCUCUGAUGUUGGAUGAUAGAUGACUUGCAACUGAACUCUUUUCCACACACACUGCAUUCAUAGAGUUUCUCCCCCGUGUGCACCCUCUGAUGUUGAAUAAGCCGUCUUUUCUGGAGAAAGGCUUUCCCACAUUCAGUGCAUUUAUAGGACUUGUCUCCACUAUGAAUCUUCCGAUGCUGAUUAAGGGAUGAGCGGUCAAAGAAAACUUUCCCACACUUGUCACAUCCAAAAGGAGUCUCUCCAGUGUGGGCUCU